AGCAGCCGCGGUAAUUCCAGCUCCAAUAGCGUAUAUUAAAGUUGUUGCAGUUAAAAAGCUCGUAGUUGAAUUUCGAGACCGGCUUACUGGUCGUGCUUUUGUGCGUACUGGUAUAAUCGGUUUCUCCUUUCUGACGAACUAUAAUGCCAUUAAUUUGGUGUUAUAGGGAAUCAGGGCUGUUACUUUGAAAAAAUUAGAGUGUUUAAAGCAGGCUCACGCUUGAAUACAUUAGCAUGGAAUAACGGAAUAGGACGUUUGAUUCUAUUUUGUUGGUUUCUAGGAUCGACGUAAUGAUUAAUAGGGAUAGUUGGGGGCAUUAGUAUUCAAUUGUCAGAGGUGAAAUUCUUGGAUUUUAUUGAAGACUAACUACUGCGAAAGCAUUUGCCAAGGAUG
rnacentral:rRNA from 1 species